AUGGACGACCCCCAAGUGCUCAUCGGCGUCUACAGGAGCGUCUCCAUGAGCGAAAUGUGCGAUAGCAUGAAGCAGAAGGGCGACGACCCUGAGACGCUGGAUCUCGGCACAAACAUGCCGCUUCUCGUGUACGGCUACCUCCCGCACCCGCCCGUCUCCACCACCCCCGCCCUCCCGCUUCCCGCCGCCGUAUGGGUCCACGACGGCGUCGACCGCAUCAGCCGCCUCCCCGACGUCGUCCUCGUCAACAUCCUCUCCCGCCUCCCCGCCAAGGACGCCGCGCGCACCGCCGCCCUCGCCUCGCGCUGGCGCCCACUCUGGCGCACGGCGCCCCUCGCUCUUGUCGACAGCCACCUGCUUCCGGACGGCGGCGCGUCCGGGCCGUUCACCAUCCGCGACCCCUCUCCCCGCGCCGUCACCGCCGCGGUGUCCCGCAUCCUCGCGGCGCACCCGGGGCCUUUCCGCUGCGUUCACCUCACCCGGACCAUAAUGCAGGAGCACCGGGCCGAGAUGACGCGCUGGCUCGACAUCCUCGUCGCCAAGGGGGUCCAAGAACUCGUCUUUGUCAACCGCCCCUGGCCGAUUGACCUGCGCCUCCCCGCCUCGCUCUUCAGCUGCGCCUCCCUCACCCGCCUCUAUCUCGGCAUCUGGAGGCUCCCGGACAGCACCGCCGUGCCGCGCCGCGCCAGAUUCCCCAACCUCCGGGAGCUUGGCCUCUGCAUGAAUGUCAUGGAGGACCGUGAUCUGGCCUUCAUGCUCGAACGAAGCCCCGUCUUGGAGAUCCUCGUCAUCAUGGGGAGCCAGAGCCAAGUGCGCCUCCGCCUCAUCAGCCAAAGCCUGCGCUGCGUUCAGCUCGGCCACACCUACUUGGAGGACAUAGACGUGGUGGAUGCCCCCAGCUUGGAGAGGCUCUUCCUGUGGGAUACAAUUCUCACUGGCGAGCUCACUCCCCCCAGGAUGAGCUCCACCAGGAACCACUCUUCCAGGCUCAACAUUGGCCGUGCACCCAACCUGCGUAUGCUGGGAUACCUUCACCCAGGAGGACAAGAGUUGGGGAUUACCAACAGCGUCAUUGUGGCUGGUAGCAAGGAGAGCAUUGUCCCUAGCGUCCAAAUUUUGGCCAUAGAGGUGCAAUUUGGUAUCCGCGAUGCUGUCAAGAAAGUGCCUGGCUUUCUCAGAUGCUUCCCCAACCUGGAGACCCUCCAUGUCCAUUCCUCCUCCAUAUCUGAAGAGCCCACUGGGAAGGUCAAUCUGAAGUUCUGGCAGGAGGGCGGUCCCAUCAAAUGCGUCCUGCAGAGCCUGAAGAAGGUGUUUUUCAACGAAUUCCAAGGGUCGAAAAGCGAGGUUGCUUUCCUCAAGUUCAUCGCGGAGAGAGGGCGGGUGCUAGAGCAGAUGGCUGUUGUGGUGGCCCGUGAAUGCUUCUCUUUGGGGGGUAAUGUGAAUGCCAAACUGAAGCCUCUGACCAGUGCAAAAUGGAACAACAAAGCUUGCAAACUAGAGCUCUUCAAGAGCCCACACGAUGACGUGGGAGGUCCAGCUUACUCCGUUGAGAAAGCUUGUGAUUUCGAGUUUGCUGACCCUUUCGACCUCAACUACCACUACAAACCAGAAAGGAUCUCUCAGCUAGAAAAACCUAUUUGGCGAGCUGUGGAAUGCUUAUUUCUGCCAAGUAAAGUUGUACUGUUGUUGCUGUUAGCAUGA
rnacentral:rRNA from 1 species